rnacentral:rRNA from 1 species
UCAGACGAUGCGUCAUGCAUAUCAAUAAGCGGAGGAAAAGAAACUAACAAGGAUUCCCCUAGUAACGGCGAGUGAAGCGGGAAGAGCUCAAAUUUGAAAUCUUAAAGGGUUUCCCUUUACGAAUUGUAGUUUAAAGAAGUGUUUUCUGUUGAGGUUUUGGUAAAAGUUCUUUGGAAUAGGACAUCAUAGAGGGUGAGAAUCCCGUAUUUGACCUUUACUUUCAACUUUGUGAUACACUUUCAAAGAGUCGGAUUGUUUGGGAAUGCAGUCCAAAAUGGGUGGUAAAUUUCAUCUAAAGCUAAAUAUUGGCGAGAGACCGAUAGCGAACAAGUACCGUGAGGGAAAGAUGAAAAGAACUUUGAAAAGAGAGUUAAACAGUACGUGAAAUUGUCAAAAGGGAAGCGUUUGACACCAGUGUUGUUUUUCUGAAAAUCAAUUAAAGAACUGUUUAUGCUAAGCUGUUUAGACUUUAUCAGCUAACUGUUUAGUUUUGAGCUUUUCUUUAAUGCACUUUUCAGUUAACAAGUCAACAUCAAUUUCUUUUGCUGUAAAAAAGCUUGAGGAAGGUGGCUUGAGAUUCGUCUUAAGUGUUUAUAGCCUCUUGCCUAUGCAGUCGGAGAGAUUGAGGUCUGCAGCGUAGAUCCUUCGGGGCUAAAUGCAUUUGUGCUAAGUUAUAGCAUUUUAUAGACAACUUGUUGACUAUGAUUUGUCUUGUAGCUUACUCGCUUAUGUUAUUUUACCUACGCUUAGGAUGUUGACACACGCGCGUGCUCG